GGUCCCGCCUGCCCUGUGACAAAUGUUUAACGGCCGCGGUAUUUUGACCGUGCAAAGGUAGCGUAAUAACUUGUCUUUUAAAUAGAGACCUGUAUGAAUGGCAUAACGAGGGUCAACCUGUCUCCUUACUUCAGUCAAUGAAAUUGAUCCCCCCGUGCAGAAGCGGGGCUAGUACCAUAAGACGAGAAGACCCUAUGGAGCUUUUAGACGCCAGGGCACCCCAAGCCAAACCGCCCCCCUUAAAGGAAAAAGCAGAAUGCCCCUGCCCCAGUGUCUUUGGUUGGGGCGACUACGGAGUAAAACACAACCCCCGUGUGGAAAUAAACCACUAUUUUGAACCAAGAGCGUCAGCUCAAAGAGCCAGAAAUUCUGACCACGCAGAUCCGGCAAAGCCGAUCAACGGACUUAGUUACCCUAGGGAUAACAGCGCAAUCCCCCUUUAGAGCCCCUAUCGACAGGGGGGUUUACGACCUCGAUGUUGGAUCAGGACAUCCUAAUGGUGCAGCCGCUAUUAAGGGUUC
rnacentral:rRNA from 1 species